rnacentral:rRNA from 1 species
GGGUGAGUAACGCGUUAGGUAAUCUGCCCUCAGGCGGGGGACAACCCGGGGAAACCCGGGCUAAUACCGCAUGUGGCUGUAAAGCUAAAGCCGGCCUCUGCUUGCAGGCUGGUGCCUGGGGAUGAGCCUGCGUCUGAUUAGCUAGACGGUGGGGUAACGGCCUACCGUGGCGAUGAUAAGUAGGCGGCUUUAACGAGUGGUCGCCCACACUGGGAUUGAGAUACGGCCCAGACUCCUACGGGAGGCAGCAGUCGAGGAUAGUCUACAAUGGCCGAGAGGCUGAUAGUGCGACGCCGCGUGAACGAGGAAGCAUUUCGGUGUGU